rnacentral:rRNA from 1 species
UAACCCGGGGAGGUCGUUCAAUACUCCGGGACUCGAGGGCAGCAGAGGGAGGCGGAAUUCCCGGUGUAGCGGUGAAUGCGUAGAUAUCGGGAGGAACACCAGUGGCGAAGGCGGCCUCCUGGGCUGUUUCUGACGCUGAAGGCGAAAGCUAGGGGAGCGAACGGGAUUAGAAACCCCGGUAGUCCUAGCCGUAAACGAUGGAUGCUGGGUGUGGGGGGUAUAGAUCCCCUCCGUGCCGAAGCUAACGCGUUAAGCAUCCCGCCUGGGGAUUACGGCCGCAAGGCUUAAACUCAAACGAAUUGACGGGGGCCCGCACAAGCAGCGGAGCGUGUGGUUUAAUUCGAUGCUACACGAAGAACCUUACCUGGGCUUGACAUGUAGGUAGUAGUGAAGCGAAAGCGGAACGACCCUUCGGGGAGCCUACACAGGUGCUGCAUGGCUGUCGUCAGUUCGUGCCGUGAGGUGUCGGGUUAAGUCCCGUAACGAACGCAACCCUUGCCCUUAGUUACAUGUGUCUAAGGGGACUGCCCGGGACAACUGGGAGCCCGCUGGGGAUGACGUCAAGUCAGCAUGGCCAUUAUGUCCAGGGCUACACACACGCUACAAUGGCCGGUACAAUGGGUCGCCAAGCCGUGAGGCGGAGCCAAUCCCCCAAAGCCGGCCUAAGUUCGGAUUGUGGGCUGCAACUCGCCCAUAUGAAGCUGGAGUUGCUAGUAACCGCGCGUCAGCAAUACUCCGCUGAUACGUUCCCGGGCAUUGUACACACCGCCCGUCACGUCAUGGAAGCUGGCAACACCUGAAGCCAGUGAGCUAACCCGCAAGGGGGCAGCUGUCGAAGGUGGGGCU